CAUGAGGGGGAAAAAAAAAUCUAAUUUAUAGAAGCUGCUCAUAAUCUGUGAAGAUAAACAUGAACCACAGGCUGAAAACCAAAACUCCAAAGGUUUCUGUAAAGUCUAAUGAUUUUUGUAAUUAUUCAAAUUUUCUUUUAAAUGUAGGAAAUAACUUGAUAAAACAAUUAUAACAAAAAAAAUCUUAAAUCCUGCCUCUAGUUUUCCUUCAGGUUCUAGGUUCACUUCUUGAUCUCUGUCAAAUAAAUGUUCUAUAUUUCUGUGUUUGUUUGUUUUUUUUUACUAAAGGAUAAAAAUACACGCACACUGCUGGAAUCAUUGAAAGAAGGAGAAAAGAGGAUGAGGAUGAGGAACAGGGGGAGGUGUUGGUUCAGGGCUGGACAAUCAGCAGAACCAGCAGCAGAAGAAUGAAGAGAGACUGAGGAAGAACCAGAACCAAGAACCAGGAGAACCAGGAAAGAAAAGAACCAGGAGGAGAACCAGUAACAAGUGACUUUAGUGCAGAUGGACAUUGGCAGACCACUGCUGGUCCACUGCUGCCCCUCGUGGACUGUGUCGUUGAGUGCAGUCUUUCCACACCAGACUGUCUGACGCUGGUCUGUCCACUCCAGGGUCCAGACUGAGGAGAUCAGGUUCUCCUGAUCCACUCUAUAUGAAGUAAGGUUUGGAUUACAUCAGACAAGGAGGCGGAGCUAAACUCCAGCUGUGUGUGUGUGUGUGUUAGAUUGGUGUGUUUAAAGCUGGUAGCUUGUAUAUGUCUCUCUGCAGCCUUGACAUCAUCUGUCCUGUUGGUGGUGCUGUGACUGAUAGAUCUCAUCCGUUUUUUUGACCUUGAGCAGUUUCUCAGGUGGGGUCAAGAGGUCAGGGCCGUCUUGCAGGAACACUGGUGUCCAAAUUGAAAAAAAAAAAGAGCCAUAAUAUUUUUGACACCGUUGUCAACUUGAGUGUGACAACAGAUAUGUGACUUUGGUUUUAAAAUACCUGGAAGUUCUGGAAGAACAGGCAUACCUGAGUGUGUGAAAUACACAGCGUCACCUGCAGGAAGGACAGUGUAGUGACGGUGUGCCUGCCUGUCAUCACCUCCACCUCUGUGUGACUGUCUGCAGCUUCACUGACACACAGCAAGGGAAAAAUAUGUGAUGGCCCUUUAAACAAAGACUGACUAACUAACUAACUAACUAACUAACUAACUAACUAACUAACUAACUAAUUCUGUCUCUGUUGCUACAAUCUUUCCACAGUUGUCUCACGGUGAGACAGACUUUGACUCCAGAAAACAUCAGGGAUGUUCUCAUCACUG